GAUGAACGCUGGCGGCGUGCCUAAUACAUGCAAGUCGAGCGAAUGGAUUAAGAGCUUGCUCUUAUGAAGUUAGCGGCGGACGGGUGAGUAACACGUGGGUAACCUGCCCAUAAGACUGGGAUAACUCCGAGAAACCGGGGCUAAUACCGGAUAACAUUUUGAACCGCAUGGUUCGAAAUUGAAAGGCGGCUUCGGCUGUCACUUAUGGAUGGACCCGCGUCGCAUUAGCUAGUCGGUGAGGUAACGGCUCACCAAGGCAACGAUGCGUAGCCGACCUGAGAGGGUGAUCGGCCAUACUGGGACUGAGACACGGCCCAGACUCCUACGGGAGGCAGCAGUAGGGAAUCUUCCGCAAUGGACGAAAGUCUGACGGAGCAACGCCGCGUGAGUGAUGAAGGCUUUCGGGUCGUAAAACUCUGUUGUUAGGGAAGAACAAGUGCUAGUUGAAUAAGCUGACACCUUGACGGUACCUAACCAGAAAGCCACGGCUAACUACGUGCCAGCCGCCGCGGUAA
rnacentral:rRNA from 1 species